GGGGAUGAAUUGAAUCGACAUUGGAUUUCAUUUCAUGUGCGCAUGUCGAGCAGGGGACUACUCUCGUUAAUCGUGUCUCAAACACCCAAAUGCAAAAGCAAAUGGUAACAAAGUUGCUUCACCUUACGUGAACAAUUUUGCUUUCGCGAUCGCGUAAUUUACGCCAUCCGAAUGUCACUACUUCUGACUCCUAAUACGGAGAUGGUGGCAUAAUUCAUUAGGAUAGGGGACAGUCGUGCUUCUGAUUGAAACCGAAACUCUUGAAGCUCGAGUAAACAAUAUUUUGAAAGUUUCUUAGCUGUUUACUUUAAACUUCCAAAAUUUUCUAAACAUGUAGAAGCGCCUGGAAUCAUCUAAUGCACGGGGGUUCAAAACCCCCCAUCUCCACAA
rnacentral:tmRNA from 1 species